rnacentral:rRNA from 1 species
GACGACCGCUGGCGGCGGGUCUAAUACAUGCACGUCGCCCCUAGUGGCGAACGGGUGAGUAACAUGUGGGUAAACUGCCCAACAGAAGGAGAAGACAGUUGGCAACAGGUGCCAAUAACGAAUACUGAUGGAAGGAUGCGCGGUGCAUUAGCUAGUUGGUGAGGAAACGGCUUACCAAGGCCACGAUGCAUAGCCGACCUGGGCGGGUGUUCGGCCACAUUGGGACUGAGACACGGCCCAAACUCCUACGGCAGGCAGCAGUAGGGAAUCUUCGGCAAUGGACGAAAGUCUUACCGAGCAACGCCGCGUGAGUGAAGAAGGUUUUCGGAUCGUAAAACUCUGUUGUUUGAGAAGCGGUAUCUAACCAGAAAGCCACGGCUCACUACGUGCCAGCCGCCGCGGUAAUAC